CAGACCUGUCUGUUGUUGAACAAAUGUCCCUGUGGUAAAGUGCCAGGAUUAGGACUAGAGGUGCAGCUCGGUGGGUAGAGAGCUUGACAAGCACUGUGCGUGGUCUGAUCAUGAUAGAGAAUCUAAUCUGGUAGUCUUGUGUUUUCAUCUCAGUUGCCAUGAUGGAUGAAUAAAUGAUUCUUCUAGUUCUUAGAAAUAGUUUUUGUAAAUAAUUCUUUUCUGUGGAAAGACUUAAGAUUUGUUUGGUUUUAUUUCUGAAAUCAGCAAGUGAUUGUUGACUCCCACCUUGGUGAUAGUAAUGGUUCUUAUCUCUGCUCCUUUGCUAGUGGCUCAGAGUCUUUACUCUAUCACUUGAGUGAACUUAAAGGGAUGGCCUCAUGGAAACAGAAAUAUGAACCUCUAGGACUGGAUGCUUCAAGCAUUGAAGAUGCUAUUACUGCUGUGGGUUCUUUCAUCCUUAAAGC
rnacentral:lncRNA from 1 species